UUCUUCGUUAUAAUGGACAAAAAAUACUAUUUAGAUCCCAUGCUUUGAAUAACAAAUGUUAACCAUCAAUUAUUAAAUACAUGUCCUUAUACAAAACGGUAAGAAAAUAUGUCACAAUCUAUAUAUAAUUAUGUAUAGACUAAUAAGAACAUCAUAAUAAGUUUAAGAUUACCAAUAAAAUAUAAAAUUACAAAAGCUAACCAGGG
rnacentral:lncRNA from 1 species